UACGAAGGUGGCGAGCGUUACUCGGAAUUACUAGGCGUAAAGCGCAGGUAGGUGGUUUGGUAAGUCUGUAAUGAAAUCUCCCGGCUUAACUGGGAGGGGUUUGCAGAUACUGCCAGGCUCGAGUGUGGGAGAGGUGACUGGAAUUCCCGGUGUAGCGGUGAAAUGCGUAGAUAUCUGGAGGAACACCGGUGGCGAAGGCGGCAUCCUGGACCGAUAUUGACGCUGAUGCGCGAAAGUCAGGGGAGCAAACGGG
rnacentral:rRNA from 1 species